GCCUAACUCUUUCUUCGUGCUUAAUACAUGCAAGUCGAACGGACAGGCCCUGCCUUUGUGGGCUGCUCGAGUGGCGAACGGGUGCGUACCACGUGGGUACCCUGCCCUUGCCUUUGGGAUAACUUCGGGAAACUGUGGCUAAUACCAGAUAAUAGCUCAUGAUGCAUGGUGGUGGUUGGAAAGUUUCGGCGGUUGGGGAUGGACGCGCGGCUUAUCAGCUUGUUGGUGGGGUAGUGGCUUACUAAGGCUUUGACGGGUAGCCGGCCUGAGCGGGUGACCGGCGACAUUGGGACUGAGAGACGGCCCAGACGCCUACGGGAGGCAGCAGUGGGGAAUAUUGCACAAUGGGCGGAAGCCUGAUGCAGCAACGCCGCGUGCGGGAUGACGGCCUGCGGGUUGUAAACCGCUUUCGCCUGUGACGAAGCGUGAGUGGCGGUAAUGGGUAAAGAAGCACCGGCUAACUACGUG
rnacentral:rRNA from 1 species